AGUGAACGCUGGCGGUAGGCCUAACACAUGCCAGUCGAACGGCAGCACAGUAAGAGCUUGCUCUUACGGGUGGCGAGUGGCGGACGGGUGAGGAAUACAUCGGAAUCUACUUUUUCGUGGGGGAUAACGUAGGGAAACUUACGCUAAUACCGCAUACGACCUACGGGUGAAAGCAGGGGAUCUUCGGACCUUGCGCGAUUGAAUGAGCCGAUGUCGGAUUAGCUAGUUGGCGGGGUAAAGGCCCACCAAGGCGACGAUCCGUAGCUGGUCUGAGAGGAUGAUCAGACACACUGGAACUGAGACACGGUCCAGACUCCUACGGGAGGCAGCAGUGGGGAAUAUUGGACAAUGGGCGCAAGCCCGAUCCAGCCAUACCGCGUGGGUGAAGAAGGCCUUCGGGUUGUAAAGCCCUUUUGUUGGGAAAGAAAAGCAGCAGGUUAAUACCCCGCUGUUCUGACGGUACCCAAAGAAUAAGCACCGGCUAACUUC
rnacentral:rRNA from 1 species